UGCGGGGUAGUGUAAAGGGAGCACAUAAGCCUCAUACGCUUAAAAUCGCAGUUCGAUCCUGUGCCCCGCUUCUA
rnacentral:tRNA from 1 species